UACGUAGGGUGCAAGCGUUGUCCGGAAUUAUUGGGCGUAAAGAGCUCGUAGGCGGUCUGUCGCGUCGGCUGUGAAAACUCGGGGCUCAACUCCGAGCUUGCAGUCGAUACGGGCAGGCUAGAGUUCGGCAGGGGAGACUGGAAUUCCUGGUGUAGCGGUGAAAUGCGCAGAUAUCAGGAGGAACACCGGUGGCGAAGGCAGAUCUCUGGGCCGUAACUGACGCUGAGGAGCGAAAGCAUGGGGAGCGAACAGG
rnacentral:rRNA from 1 species